AAUAUACAAUCACUAUAAAACAGUGGAGCUGGUAAAACACGAAUCGCAGUAAAUUAAAUUGGGACGAACACCUGACUAUUAGGCUUGCGUCACGUGCACGUUUAAAUCGAUUCAAUUUUAACCACAACAUUUUUCUAUUAAAUACCGACAAUCACCAACGCGCAUGAUGCAAGUCCCGAAAAAGUUAUAUGUCCCGAGGCGCUUGCGGUAUACACCUUGACUAUACACGGAUAGGAAAUUAAAAAAAAA